CGAGUAUUUAUAUGAGUCUCUUAUCUACCAUUUAGUUAGACGGGACCAUAGACACAAUUUUUCAAUCUUUUUUUACAUCAUGUACUUAACUAUUGAAAAAGAUUAUAAGAUUAUUUCCUUAAUAACAUUUAUCCCGCAAAUUGUUUUAGUAACGUUAUUUGGUUUUAAAUAUGCAAAACAUAAUUUAGAAUUAUCUAUGUUUUUACAAGUAAAAUAAUAUAAGAAUACAUUUUUUGCAUUUUUUUAUAUUAUUCUAAUAAUAAAUUUAUAAAUAUUUGAAUAAUAUUUUUAUUUGGUUUUUAUUUUUUUCUUUUUAUUUAAGACUAUGGCGUUUAUUACCAUGAACAAAGUAUGCACGUCUCAGUACUUUAUUUGGUGCAUCCCAUUUUUACCCAUUGUCCUUGUGACUAUAACCUUGAACAAGGUAUGAAUAGUAAACAUGAGCAAAUACAUAAAGUCUUUUUUUUUCUUGUUAUAAGAAAAGGAUAGUUAAAUAAUUACACUAUAAACACUAUUUUUCAAUCUAUAUAUAUAUAUAUAUAUAUAUAUAUACACGUGCGUGUGUUUUGUGUGUGUGAAUAUGCAUAUGUAAUGUUUUAUUUUAUGUAUUUUUUUUACAGGAAAACUUAAUUCUUAUUUCCUGCGCAAUUCUCUUUUUUACUUUGUCAAAGGUUUGGAUCAAAAUUAGUGUUAAUUAAAUAUUUGUUAUUUUAUGUUCAUAUAAAAAAAAUCAAAUAAAAUAACGGUCAGAAUAUACA
rnacentral:lncRNA from 1 species